rnacentral:rRNA from 1 species
AGAGUUUGAUCCUGGCUCAGGACGAACGCUGGCGGCGUGCCUAAUACAUGCAAGUCGAACGCUCUUUUCUUAUCGAACUUCGGUUCACCGAGAAAAGGGAGUGGCGAACGGGUGAGUAACACGUGGGUAACCUACCCAUCAGCGGGGGAUAACACUUGGAAACAGGUGCUAAUACCGCAUAAUUCUUUUCUUCGCCUGAAGGGAAGAUGAAAGACGCUUUUGCGUCACUGAUGGAUGGACCCGCGCUGCAUUAGCUAGUUGGUGGGGUAACGGCUCACCAAGGCCACGAUGCAUAGCCGACCUGAGAGGGUGAUCGGCCACACUGGGACUGAGACACGGCCCAGACUCCUACGGGAGGCAGCAGUGGGGAAUAUUGCGCAAUGGGGGAAACCCUGACGCAGCGACGCCGCGUGAGCGAAGAAGGCCUUAGGGUCGUAAAGCUCUGUUUUAAGGGACGAAUAUCUUCAGUAGUAACUGACUGAGGAAUGACGGUACCUUAAGAGAAAGCCCCGGCUAACUACGUGCCAGCAGCCGCGGUAAGACGUAGGGGGCGAGCGUUGUCCGGAAUUACUGGGCGUAAAGAGCACGUAGGCGGGAUUUUAAGUCAGGUGUGAAAGACCGUGGCUCAACCACGGGGUUGCACAUGAAACUGGAAUUCUUGAGGGCAGGAGAGGAAAGUGGAAUUCCUGGUGUAGCGGUGAAAUGCGUAGAAAUCAGGAGGAACACCGGUGGCGAAGGCGACUUUCUGGACUGACCCUGACGCUGAGGUGCGAAAGCGUGGGUAGCAAACAGGAUUAGAUACCCUGGUAGUCCACGCUGUAA